CCUACGGGAGGCAGCAGUGGGGAAUAUUGCACAAUGGGGGCAACUCUUAUGCAGCGAUGCCGCGUGAAUGAAGAAGGUUUUCGGAUUGUAAACUCCUUUUAUCAGGGACGAUAAUGACGGUACUUGCAGAAAAAGCUCCGGCAAACGACUUGCCAGCAGCCGCGGUAAUAAGAAGUGAGCGGGCGUUGUUCGGAGUUACUGGUGUUAAAGGGGGCGUAGGCGGGACGGCAAGUACAAUGGAAAAAAUGAGGGCUCAACUUUCAGGCUGCAUUUGAAACUGCUGGUCUUGAGUGAAGUAGAGGUAAGCGGAAUUCCUAGUGUAGCGGUGGAAUGCGUAGAUAUUAGGAGGAACAUCAGUGGCGAAGGCGACUUACUGGACUUUAACUGACGCUGAGGCACGAAAGCGUGGGGAGCAAACAGGAUUAGAUACCCCUGUAGUC
rnacentral:rRNA from 1 species